rnacentral:tRNA from 1 species
AGCAGCGUGGCUCAGUGGAAAGAGCCCGGACUUGGGAGUCGGGGGUCAUGGGUUCGAAUCCCGGCUCUGCCA